UGGGAGGCCGAUUGACUGACGGUCAAUGAGUU
rnacentral:piRNA from 1 species